GACGAACGCUGGCGGCGUGCUUAACACGUGCAAGUCGAACGAAGAGCGACGGAAGCUUGCUUCUAUCAAUCUUAGUGGCGAACGGGUGAGUAACGCGUAAUCAACCUGCCCUUCAGAGGGGGACAACAGUUGGAAACGACUGCUAAUACCGCAUACGAUCUAACCUCGGCAUCGAGGAUAGAUGAAAGGUGGCCUCUACAUGUAAGCUAUCACUGAAGGAGGGGAUUGCGUCUGAUUAGCUAGUUGGAGGGGUAACGGCCCACCAAGGCGAUGAUCAGUAGCCGGUCUGAGAGGAUGAACGGCCACAUUGGGACUGAGACACGGCCCAGACUCCUACGGGAGGCAGCAGUGGGGAAUCUUCCGCAAUGGACGAAAGUCUGACGGAGCAACGCCGCGUGAGUGAUGACGGCCUUCGGGUUGUAAAGCUCUGUUAAUCGGGACGAAAGGCCUUCUUGCGAAUAGUGAGAAGGAUUGACGGUACCGGAAUAGAAAGCCACGGCUAACUACGUG
rnacentral:rRNA from 1 species